rfam:Stegodyphus mimosarum contig55043, whole genome shotgun sequence.
GCAUUCGUGGUGUAGUAGUCAGCACGCUCGACGCGCAACCAAGAGAUCCGUGGUUCAAUUCCCGGUGAAGGCG